rnacentral:lncRNA from 1 species
UAUGAACAGGGAUUAAUCCGUUACGCUAAUUUGUUAUGAGCAAAGUAAUUUUUUUAAGAGUAGUCUUCUCCAUUAAUCGUUAUCUAAAAAGGGCUCUGAUCUAGUUCUGCAAAUGUUGACAUUUUCCUGCAAGCAGUGAUAGAGGAGAGUCUCACGAUAAGGGCCCACAUUGAAAUCCAGAAACACGCCAACAAGCAGAAAACUGGCUGGCUGGAGCUACCUUGAAGGGUGGGCGAGAGACGAUGGAAGAGAAAGGAGAAGGCCCAGCUCCCAGAGCAAUCCUCACAAACGGGGUGGACAAGAGCCAUCCAGGUCUGGUGCCUGCCUUCAGCUUGCUACAGACGAAUCUGACAGCUAAGUGACACUGUCAGCAAGACAAAAGGCUGGACACUGCCACAAAACUAACAGCAAUGAUACAUCUGAGGAAAUUUCCCUGUUCAGGCUCAUUCAGAAAAAUCAAAUAACUGUCACUGCCAGUGUAAACAGACUCCUGCAAGUGCAGCAAAGGAAAUUGGAAACCAGAU